rnacentral:rRNA from 1 species
GACGAACGCUGGCGGCGUGCUUAACACAUGCAAGUCGAACGAUGAAGAAGAGAAACGCGAACUUCGGUUCAAAUUUCACUUCGGAUUAGUGGCAGACGGGUGAGUAACGCGUGAGCAACCUACCUCUUACAAAGGGAUAGCCUCGGGAAACCGUGAUUAAUACCAUAUGACACAUUCAUAAGGCAUCUUAAGAAUGUUAAAGCUACGGCGGUAAGAGAUGGGCUCGCGUCCCAUUAGCUAGUUGGUGAGGUAUCGGCCCACCAAGGCGACGAUGGGUAACCGGCCUGAGAGGGUGAACGGUCACAUUGGAACUGAGACACGGUCCAAACUCCUACGGGAGGCAGCAGUGGGGAAUAUUGCACAAUGGAGGGAACUCUGAUGCAGCGACGCCGCGUGAGCGAUGAAGGAAUUCGUUUCGUAAAGCUCUGUUCUAUGGGAAGAAAAGGACUGUACCAUAGGAGAAAGCCCCGGCUAAAUACGUG